AAUUUGUGUCAAAAUUUGAAUUGCUAUAUGAUUUAUCAAUACAUAAGAACUCAUCUAUUAUUUAUAACCAUCUUCUUGGUUAUUUUCUGUUAUUAGUUUUAAGACUAGACACUUUA
rnacentral:sRNA from 1 species